AGGCACCUAAGUGCUAAGAUACAGGUACACAUCUCCAUAUCUGGGAAAAUAGUACGUUUCUUUCUUUUCUCUAUUACCCAGAAUUUCUAUAACAUUUAGGUUCACUAAAACUGUGUUUUAGUUACACCUGAACCUGCUUUAGGGGCAUUGUUUCACUCCCCAGUGCUGGGAUGGGACUUAGAGCCUUGUGCAUCCUAGGUAAGUAGUGUGGCCGCCAAGCUUCGCCUGCAGCCCCAUCCACUCCAGAGGUUCAGUCACAGCUGUGGAUCUGAGUUCAGGGCCAGUGUGGUCCACAGAGUUUCAGAAAUACACACUAGCGUGACAAGGUGGCUCAGCAGGUAAAGAUCCUGGCCACACAAGCCUGGUGACCUGAGUUCAAUUCCAAGAACUCUAAAAAAGUAGAGGGAGAGAACUCACCCCACAGCGUUAACCUCUGAUGUCCACACACAAAUACCAUGGCACGUGUACACACACACACACACACAGCUUUUAAAAUUAAAUUUAAGGGCUGGUGAGAUGGCUCAGCGGGUAAGAGCACUGACUGCUCUUCCGAAGGUCUCGAGUUCAAAUCCCAGCAACCACAUGGUGGCUCACAACCAUCUGUAACAAGAUCUGACUCC
ensembl:sense_intronic Gm37963 predicted gene, 37963